GGGUAGGCAGGGUGUGGUUGGGCUUGGCAUUGUUAAUGUCAAGUCAGGAAAGUCCGGGCUCCGCAGGGUAGCGUAAUGGGUAACACCCAUCUCCGCCUAUAAAUAUAGGCGGACGGAUUUCCGCCAUACAACUUGGCGGACCCGCCAAAGCCCAUACCAGUUAUAAGAUGGAAAAGGGCGUAAGCGGGAGAGCCACAGAGACGAGACCCUACAUUUUUGUGUAGGGUGGUGCAACGAAGGCAAUCUCUACGUGGAGCAAGGCCGAAUAGUCCCGCCCAUACCUGCUUUAUGCAGGUAUAAAAACAACCCGUUUGAAAACCUCAAAAAUAUUUUGAGGGUGGGUGGGUGGGUAGGCUGCUUGAUUCAGGUGGCGACAUCUGAACUUAGAGGAAUAACCACUAAGGAAGCGGGAAAUCGCCUCUAAACAGAACCCGGCUUACUCUGCCUGCCUUUUA
rnacentral:RNase_P_RNA from 1 species